ACGGCAUGGUGUGGGGCACUUCCUAAUCAGUUCCUUCAACCUCUCUCUAGUCUCAUGAAAUAUUUCUCCAUCCAUCUGAAAAAAAUUAGUUAUUGCUUUUCAGAUUU